UGAGAGCGGGUACGGUGCGGAACACGUGUGCACGCUUUAUCUGGGGGAUAGCCUUUCGAAAGGAAGAUUAAUACCCCCAUAAUAUGUUGAAUGGGCAUCAUUUCGAUAUUGAAAACUCCGGUGGAUAGAGAUGGGCACGCGCAAGAUUAAUAGUUGGUGAGGUAACGGCUCACCAAGUCUACGAUCUUUAGGGGGCCUGAGAGGGUGAUCCCCCACACUGGUACUGAGACACGGACCAGACUCCUACGGGAGGCAGCAGUGAGGAAUAUUGGACAAUGGGUGAGAGCCUGAUCCAGCCAUCCCGCGUGAAGGACGACUGCCCUAUGGGUUGUAAACUUCCUUUGUAUAGGGAUAAACCUACCUCGUGAGGGUACUGAAGUACUAUACAAUAACACCGGUUAACUUCCGUGCCAGCAGCCGGGGUAAANUUAACGGGGAGGGGUGGCCAAAGCGUUUAAUCCCGGGGGAUUUAAUUGGGGGGUUUUAAAAAGGGGGUUCCCGGUAAGGGCGGGGAUUCCUGUAAAGGUCCAAGUGGUUGGAAAAUUUCUUCCAAAGUUUUAAAAUUGGUGAAAAAUUGGCAUUGGAUAACUUGGCAAGGUC
rnacentral:rRNA from 1 species